GUAAUAUGCAUUAUUAUAUAUAAAACACUAUAUGAUUGCAUGUUCUGCAUGUGUCCAUUCUGUAUAUAUGAUUACUGUAAUUAAUCUGUAGGGUAGAUUCUGUAUAUAUGAUUUCUGUAAAAGCAAUUAUUAACAUUAUCUUUAUUAUUAGAAUCCAUUCUGUGCCACUGAUGCUGAGGUUAAUAGAGAGGUAGUGAGAAUAACAUAGAACUUCUGAGUCUUGUUGAUACUAGGACUAGAAAUAGAUCUGAUUGUGUGUGUGUUUGUGUGUCUGCGUGCUCACACACAUGUACACAUCGGUAGGUAAUAAAUCUGGCUUUGAGCACAAAAUCACAGACAGAACUGAUAGGAAUACUGCAGGCCAUCUGAUCCAAUUGCUCGUUUUGUUGAUGAGGAAAGCGAUGUCGGUGCUUCAUCGAGCAACCUAAGGUCCCACUAUUGCUGGCAGUUCUCCUGUCUCCUCCCUUCUUGAAUUUGGGCAUAAUCCAGUGACGAUGGUUAGCAAAGAGAUGAGGGAGUGGUCCUUGGGGAGGCUCCUCCACUGGAAGAUUCGGCUAUUCUUCCUUUACUUGAGUCUAGUGCCAUGCUUCUCUCCUGCCCUUCCCUGCUUCUCUCUGCUUUCACUUCCCAUCUUGACAUUUAAAGCCUCUGUUCUCUGAGUGACAGUGAUGCUAAUGUUUGUCUUUUGGGGGGCUCCUUUUGAUCCUAGGCUCAGAGAACACUCAAGAUAGUAACAGAUUAAUGCUUUUAAAACCCAAUUUAAAGCAAGAAGGAGCGGGUGCCUGUUUUGUCCUGAAGCCGGAACCAGCGACUCUCCCCUGGGUGACCACCCUGAAGUGGAUGUCAUUUCUGAUCUAAGUGGAAGGGUAAGACAUAAAGGACAACUGGAGUGAGGGUGCGGGAGGCUGUCCCACUCAGACAAUGGUGUUUGUAGCAGAAGCUCUUCUCUGUAAGGGGAAGGUGGACGCACCAGGAUCUUGAUUGUAUUUUCCAGCUGAGUCUUCCUGAUCUGGACAAGUUUUAAAACUUUAGAAUUUUUAGAGCAUUGGUUUGGCAUGAUGGAGCCCACACAUAAUUUAUAUAAAAGUAAUAAACGGUUCAUUUAAGCUUCAGUUACACACAACUCAAUGUAACACUGAGUUUUAAAAAGUGCCAGAAAAUGAUAUACCCUAUGAAAUACUUUUAAUAAAAGCAACUAAAGUGAAACAACUU